rnacentral:tRNA from 1 species
GGGCGAAUGGUUUAGUGGUAUAAUACUCCCUUAGCAUCUGUUCUCCAACAGGUUCAAUGAUUGGGAGUGGUCCGGGGUUCGAUUCCCCGUUUGUCCA